rnacentral:sRNA from 1 species
GACAAACAUUUACAUGUGUACAAGUAUGGUUGAAUACUUUGUGAUAGAUUUCCAGCAUAAUUCUUUAUGUCCGAUACUCGUGAACAAGCAUAAUAUAAGACACACAAUGUAUUUUAAUUCCGGGUUUUGUACAUGUAUUGUCUAUAUUUUUUUUUUUUGUGUUUUUGAGCAAUUUUGUCUAUCAAAUCUAUAUUUAUUUAUUUUUUAUAUAUCAUGAAAAUCCGUCCUUUUUUUUAUCAUGAGGUUUUGUAUAGAUAUUUAUUUUCUUUUUAUGUCAAAUUUGGACUAAAGUGGUCAUAAUUCAAAGUUUUACGAAGUUUAAUAUAUACUUUGAAUGACAAGAGACACAAACAUUCUAUAGUCAUAAAAUACAUUUGCAUGAUUGAUGCAUAAUAAAUCAUCAGCAUUUUACUCACAAUCUCCAAUCAAAAUAGUGUUGUUUUUCUCUCUAUCUAUAUUGUGAUAACUGUAAAUUAAUAUUGAAAUAUUUUAUUCCAGCAAAGUCGUAUGUAACAACUAUUUAUUAAAUAUUUAUUUGAUUAUUUUUGUUAUACAUUGUAGGUUGUUUUUUAGAAUGAUUGCGUAAUGUAUGUUUCUGUGUAAACUCCCUUUUUUUCUAUGUACAUGUAUAUAUACAUAUCGCAUGACAAUGAUAACUGUGAUAUUUUUUGUAUCAAAUCGAUAGAAGAAAUGGGAGGUGCUACAUUUUGUAUGAUAGAAAACUACUGAACAUGUACGGUGACUCUCGUAAUGAGGAUUUCAAAUUAACAAUUCCGAAAUCUAUCUGGUAUAUAUUUUGUUCUGUUAAUUUUUAAUAAUUACUUGUGUGUGGAAAAAAAAAAUAUUUGGAAAUAUUGGAAAUUAAUAUUUGGGAAAUGGACUACAAAAUUUUAAGACUCCCAUGCUAAGAAUUGAUGAUAUUACGGUAUCGUAUAUUGUAUGAUAUCGAUUUUUGUAUGUUAUUAGGACUUGUGAAAACUUUACUUAUAUUUAUGAUUAUGCAAGUCAAGAAAUUAAUGAUAAUUCUAGCUCUUGAAUUUUGAACACAUUGAUAGAAAUCUUCUAGUAAUAAAGAUAUGGUAGUUUU